CAUCCUCGCUCAGGUUCGGCGCCGAAUUCAGGUCACAACACUAAAAGCACACUUUGUCUCCUAAUUCCCCUUCCUCUCUUUUUUUCUUUUUUUCUUUUUUUUUUGGAUGCAGGAGCGCGUUCUCGGGGCCGCGUUGGGGAUCGCGUUCACGGGCUCCAUCCUCUUCCAUCAGCGCCGGGAGAUUUACCGAUCCAUACCCAAGAACAGUUCUUACUCAUAUCAGGUAUCGAUUUCACUAUUCUCCCCUUUUUUUCCGAUUCAAAAUCGAUCAUCAGAUCAGUAAAAACAAAAAAAAAACAAAAAAACGAAAAAAAAAAGAUACAUAAUUCACACAAUUUUGAGGAGCAUGCGUAACUCGUUUCGUAGAUCGCGCAAAUUUGGACGAGGUAUAAUUUUUUUUUUGUUUUUUCCGUAUAAGAUUCGGAAGUUGGUUCAUCAAAUGAGGAGAUGUUUCUCUUUGGAAACAAUACAUUUGCGAAUAGGCUUUUAGUGAUCUUCAUGUCUUAAUUUGUAUGGUAUUCAAAGUUGGUUUUGAUUCGCCGUAUCUUACAAUUGAACUGCAAAGUUGUGUUGCUAGGCAUGGUUUUGUUAGACAAAUUUGUUAUUAUGUAGUUUCACAAUCAACGUAUCCAACAUCUAUAGCAUUUAAAACUCGUCGGUAGCAACAUCUUCUUUAUGAGUUAUCAUCUAAUUAUCAUGUUGAGAAUUCUCUUCAAUGGAUUCUCUCUCUUUUUUUUAACUCUUGUUUGGACAAUAGAUGAAAAUUUUAGCCCACCUCAGGAAAAAAGUAUUUUCGCGUGAGUUACUGUAACUAGUAAGAGUAUUGAACCAUUAGAGGGGAACGAAGAGUACGCACAAGUGCACGCGAUGCCACAUGGCCCCUCUCGAGUGAGAGAAAAAAAAUUGCUAGAAUUUCUUCAGUUAUAUUGUUGAUGUGACAUCACCAACCAAUCAAAUUGUUAUAGAAAAAAUAUUCUUUUUUAUACUUUUCUCUUAAAUAGACGGAUGUGAUUGACUGGUUAGAGAUGAUGUGGUGUGACUGCUACGUAGUAGAAAUCCUCCUCAAGUGACUCCCUAGAGAGGAAGAGUACAAAAAACCAAAGUUAAAAGUGGUAAAUUUCAUUUCAUGUUAUACUACCAAACGCGCAUGUGCGAAUGCAUGUUUAUUAUAGUGAGGUUGUAAGCAGGGUUUGAGCAGUUACAUGCAAAGAAGUUCCCUUUUGUUAAAUAUUUACAAGCGAAGCAGUUGAGUUUCUUUUCGUUUGGAGUUUGGACACUGUGGGUUGUGCAAUAUUUCCUUGAUUUUCUACUUUCCAGAUAAAUCAUCUGAAGCUAAAAUGAUGUUCAGAAGUGUAGAUAGUAAGCAAGCCAGCUGCUGAAAUCAACUUAGUUACCAGUUAGUUGUAAUUAAAUUCGUGCAUGCGUGCGUUCAACAUAGUGCAUUACCUUUUAUUCUUCUACGUUUUGUUAUUGUGAUCUCGAACUCUAUAAGUUGAUGACAUGUAAGUGGAUUUUCUUUGCAGUAUAAAGAAUUAACACAUGGAAAGAACUCUACGGAUCUUGCUCGAAUGUGGAACAAGGCCAUCGAUGGUACGCUCGGACAACUAGUCCUGUUUCUUAGCUCGCGUGGCUGGUAACAAGCUCGGCGUCCAUUUUUCCAAACUUACCAAGAUGCCGAUGACCGUUAUUUCUUUUGGCUCCACUAUCUGUGUUUUGCUCGAGUCCCUAUGACCUAAUCUUUUUCAUGUGAUUGUUAUAGUAUGACACAUUGUUCUGUAUGAUUUUUUCAAAUACAUGGUGAUAUUUGCAGUUAAUCUUUUUCAUCCAAGUGAUUGGUAUAAUAAAUUCUGGAUUCUAUUAAAGGGUUGUGUUUUAUGAAUCGAUGGUUUAUACGUAGAAAUGGUAGAGAUUUUUAUUGUCAUUUCCUGUAAUUUCAGUGUAGAUUUUCGAGACCUCAAACUUUUGUAAGUAUGCAUCUGUACUUGCAUGCACCGCGAAUGUAUUAGCUCUCCAUCUAAUCUCUUAUUUUUUUACGCAACCAUUCAUUUCUCUGAGUAGAGAAAAGAUUGCUACUCAGUGUACGGUGUAGAUUGAUAGAUGAUAUGGGAUCGACGGCGGAUUGAAGUGUGUUGUAUGUAUGUAUGUACAGGUGCAUCAUCUGUAAGCAAUAAGGGGGG
rnacentral:lncRNA from 1 species